UAAUGGCAGGUCAGCAUACUGCCGUGAAUACGUUCCCGGGCCUUGUACACACCGCCCGUCACACCAUGAGAGUUGGGAAUACCCGAAGCCUGUGAGCUAACUGUAAGGAGGCAGCAGUCGAAGGUAGAAUCAAUGAUUGGGGUGAAGUCGUAACAAGGUAAC
rnacentral:rRNA from 1 species